rnacentral:tRNA from 1 species
CAGAGAGUAGUGUAAUAGAAAACGCUGACCUUGGACGUCAGAAAUCAACAAUGUUGCUCCCUGA